rnacentral:rRNA from 1 species
CUUCCGCAAUGGACGAAAGUCUGACGGAGCAACGCCGCGUGAGUGAUGAAGGUUUUCGGAUCGUAAAACUCUGCUGUUAGGGAAGAACAAGUACCGUUCGAAUAGGGCCGCACCUUGACGGUGCCUAACCAGACAGCCACGGCUAACUACGUGCCAGCAGCCGCGGUAAUACGUAGGUGGCAAGCGUCGUCCGGAAUUAUUGGGCGUAAAGCGCGCGCAGGCGGUUUCUUAAGUCUGAUGUGAAAGCCCCCGGCUCAACCGGGGAGGGUCAUUGGAAACUGGGAAACGUGAGUGCAGAAGAGGAGAGUGGAAUUCCACGUGUAGCGGUGAAAUGCGUAGAGAUGUGGAGGAACACCAGUGGCGAAGGCGACUCUCUGGUCUGUAACUGACGCUGAGGCGCGAAAGCGUGGGGAGCGAACAG